GACGAACGCUGGCGGCGUGCUUAACACAUGCAAGUCGAACGGAAAGGCCCUGCUUUUGUGGGGUGCUCGAGUGGCGAACGGGUGAGUAACACGUGAGUAACCUGCCCUUGACUUUGGGAUAACGGCAGGAGACUGGGGCUAAUAACGGAUAGGAGCUCCUGCUGCAUGGUGGGGGAUGGAAAGUUUCGGCGGUUGGGGAUGGAAUCGCGGGUUAUCAGGUUGUGGGGGGGGUAGUGGCUUACCAAGGCUUUGACGGGAAGCCGGCCUGGGAGGGGGACCGGCCAAAUUGGGACUGGGUUAGGCCCCGGCCCCCAAGGGGAGGCAGAGGGGGGGAAUUUGGACAAGUGGGGGGAGGCUGGUGGCAGCAACGCGCGGUGCGGGAGGCGGGCUUUCGGGUGUAAAACCGUUUUCGCAGGUAACGAAGGGUGUGUGACGGUAACGGGUAAAGAAGCACCGGCUAACUACGUG
rnacentral:rRNA from 1 species